rnacentral:rRNA from 1 species
GACGAACGCUGGCGGCGUGCUUAACACAUGCAAGUCGAACGGCAAGGCCCUGCUUUUGUGGGGUGCUCGAGUGGCGAACGGGUGAGUAACACGUGAGUAACCUGCCCUUGACUUUGGGAUAACUUCAGGAAACUGGGGCUAAUACCGGAUAGGAGCUCCUGCUGCAUGGUGGGGGUUGGAAAGUUUCGGCGGGUGGGGAUGGACUCGCGGCUUAUCAGCUUGUUGGUGGGGUAGUGGCUUACCAAGGCUUUGACGGGUAGGCGGCCUGAGAGGGUGACCGGCCACAUUGGGACUGAGAUACGGCCCAGACUCCUACGGGGGGCAGCAGUGGGGAAUAUUGCACAAUGGGCGGAAGCCGGAGGCAGCAACGCCGCGUUCGGGAUGACGGCCUUCGGGUUGUAAACCGCUUUCGCCUGUGACGAAGCGGGAGUGACGGUAAUGGGUAAAGAAGCACCGGCUAACUACGUG